CUUUGUGCGCUCUCCGAGGCUGAUUCGGGGGCUCCCCACAGCCCCUCACGAGCCUCAGGGUUGCCCAAGCACGGAGAGAAGGCCGUCGUGCAGCCCUCGUCCCGGGGAGAGCUGCCACGUCUGCCCCGUGUUUGUGCCGCUCUUUGCCCCUCUCCUGCUCCCCAGCCCCUCCGAGCCCCGCGAGCGCGAGGAAGACGCUGCAGUGAGGGGGCUGAUGUCUCACGGGUGACUAUUUGGAGCCCUCCUGGAUGGAGUUUCCUUUCCAGCUCCGUCAUCUCCGCAGCCCCGUUUGACUCAACGCUUGGCUCAGCUGCUGAGAGGGUGCUGGAAGGCCACAGUGGGGUCACCCCAGAGCUUCUCCAGGCUGAGCAAUCCCAACUCUCCCAGCCCUUCCUCGUGGGAGCCGUGCUCCAUCCUGCUAAUCCUCCUCUGGAUUUGCUCCAACAGUUGCUAUAAUCAGGAGAACCGCUUGCUGCAGCUCUGAAGAGAGGAACAAACACGGGACAGUGCAGGGACAGUGUCACCUCCCAGGUGUCUCCAUCCAGCAGUUUGGGAAAGAACCCAAACAUGGCCAAAAACCCCCCGGGAGUCCCCCCUGCGGGCUCACCCCGGGGUGCUGGGCUCGGGAGGAUGCGGGACAGAGCCCACCCGUGUCCCGGGGUGUCACAGCAGCCCCUGGGGACCAUCCUGGGGUGUCACAGCAGCUCUUGGGGACCAUCCCGGGGUGUCACAGCAGCUCUUGGGGACAAUCCCGGGGUGUCACAGCAGCACCUGGGGACAAUCCCGGGGUGUCACAGCAGCCCCAGAGUGCCCUGCUGGCCUUGGGGACAAUCCCGGGGUGUCACAGCAGCUCUUGAGGACC